GUAAGGCCUUUGGGAUAUAAUUAGAUUAUGAAGAUGAAGCUGUUAUAAAUGGGAUUAGUGCUCUUAUCAAAGGAGACACAGAGCGCUCUCUUGCCCUCUUUCUGCUAUGAGACUGCAAUGAAAAGUUGGCAGUCUGCAACCUGAAAGAAGGUCUUCACCUAGGACCCAACUAUGCUGACACUGAUCACAGACUCCCAGCUUCAAGAACGGUCUCCAUUGCUUGCGAUGAUAUUAAUGAAACAGCUGCUGAUCUUAUUGAAGUUACCUUGUGCAUGGAGAUGGAGUCCCUCUCUGUCACCCAGGCAGAAGUGCAGUGGCGCAGUCUUGGCUCAGUGCAACCUCUGCCUCCUGGGUUCAACGGAUUCUCCUGCCUCACCCUCCUUAGUAGCUGGGAUUACAGCCCGUCUAAUUUUUGUAUUUUUUAGUAGAGAGGGGGGUUUCACCAUGUUGACCAGGCUGGUCUUGAACCCCUGACCUCAAGUGAUCCACCUGCCUUGGCCUUCCAAAGUGCUGGGAUUACAGGCUAGAGCCACUGUGCCUGGCCUAAAUUUCAUACUAUACGCAUUUACCCUCUAUUUAAUAUAAUACACCAAAUAAAGGUAUAGAAUAUCAAGAAACAAUAUGGAAUAAUUUCUUAUAUACAAAAACUUUAAAAUUAGUUAAGAAAACAAGUGAAAUAAACAUAAGAAAAAAGUUAAUAACUUUGGACAGUGAUAAAUUGUGUGGCACAGAUAAAUUUUAAUAAGAAUUAAGCUUAUUUAGACAUCUAGUUACAUUUAAGACAUCAUGGGUGAAAGAAGAUUACAGUUAAAACUUGACUCUCUCUUAAGUAAAACAAAGAAAGAUGUAAUAGCAUAAGAAAAACUAAAUGUCCUUCUGGUGUCAAGUCCCUCAUUUUUUUUGUAUGUGUUUAGAGUGUAUUGGGGACAAUAAUUUCAAUAGCGUAAAUUAUAUGUAGGCCAUAAACAGCAUUGUAAGUAAUCAGUAUAAAACAAAAGUUCUGGGAGAACCAGGUACUAAAGAUAAGACAAACCAAAGAUUAUUAGAAUAAAAUAAUAGAUCAAAAGAACAAAAGAGGAUAUAUUUCCCUAGGAAAGAAAAACAACAAAAUUUCAAUUAAAUUGUUGGAUUUUAAAAGCAUACAAUUUAAAAAAAGAGUCUGACAUUAUCAAAGGCCAGAGUAAAACAGUGAGUU
rnacentral:lncRNA from 10 species